GUGGGGAAUAUUGGGCAAUGGGCGAAGCCUGACCCAGCAACGCCGCGUGAAGGAAGAAGGUCUUCGGAUCGUAAACUUCUAUCCUUGGUGAAGAUAAUGACGGUAGCCGAGAAGGAAGCCCCGGCUAACUACGUGCCAGCAGCCGCGGUAAUACGUAGGGGGCAAGCGUUGUCCGGAAUGAUUGGGCGUAAAGGGCGCGUAGGCGGCCUGGUAAGUCUGGAGUGAAAGUCCUGCUUUUAAGGUGGGAAUUGCUUUGGAUACUGUCGGGCUUGAGUGCAGGAGAGGUAAGUGGAAUUCCCGGUGUAGCGGUGAAAUGCGUAGAGAUCGGGAGGAACACCAGUGGCGAAGGCGACUUACUGGACUGUAACUGACGCUGAGGCGCGAAAGUGUGGGGAGCAAACAGGAUUAGAAACCCGAGUAGUCC
rnacentral:rRNA from 1 species